rnacentral:tRNA from 1 species
GGAGAGGUGGCCGAGUGGCCGAAGGCAGCUGCCUGCUAAGCAGUUAAUCGGGUAAAACCGGUUCUAGGGUUCGAAUCCCUACCUCUCCG